AUUGAACGCUGGCGGCAUGCCUUACACAUGCAAGUCGAACGGCAGCACGGGAGCAAUCCUGGUGGCGAGUGGCGAACGGGUGAGUAAAGUAUCGGAACGUGCCCAGUCGUGGGGGAUAACGUAGCGAAAGUUACGCUAAUACCGCAUACGAUCUAUGGAUGAAAGCGGGGGAUCGCAAGACCUCGCGCGAUUGGAGCGGCCGAUAUCAGAUUAGGUAGUUGGCGGGGUAAAGGCUCACCAAGCCGACGAUCUGUAGCUGGUCUGAGAGGACGACCAGCCACACUGGGACUGAGACACAGCCCAGACUCCUACGGGAGGCAGCAGUGGGGAAUUUUGGACAAUGGGCGAAAGCCUGAUCCAGCCAUGCCGCGUGCAGGAUGAAGGCCUUCGGGUUGUAAACUGCUUUUGUACGGAACGAAAAGGUUUGGCCUAAUAAGCUGAGCUCAUGACGGUACCGUAAGAAUAAGCACCGGCUAACUACGUGCCAGCAGCCGCAGUAA
rnacentral:rRNA from 1 species